UGGGGAAUAUUGCACAAUGGGCGAAAGCCUGAUGCAGCGACGCCGCGUGAGGGAUGACGGCCUUCGGGUUGUAAACCUCUUUCAGCAGGGACGAAGCGCAAGUGACGGUACCUGCAGAAGAAGCACCGGCUAACUACGUGCCAGCAGCCGCGGUAAUACGUAGGGUGCAAGCGUUGUCCGGAAUUACUGGGCGUAAAGAGUUCGUAGGCGGUUUGUCGCGUCGUUUGUGAAAACCAGCAGCUCAACUGCUGGCUUGCAGGCGAUACGGGCAGACUUGAGUACUGCAGGGGAGACUGGAAUUCCUGGUGUAGCGGUGAAAUGCGCAGAUAUCAGGAGGAACACCGGUGGCGAAGGCGGGUCUCUGGGCAAUAACUGACGCUGAGGAACGAAAGCGUGGGUAGCGAACAGG
rnacentral:rRNA from 1 species